GCGGAGGAAAAGAAACCAACAGGGAUUGCCCCAGAAACGGCGAGUGAAGCGGCAACAGCUCAAAUUUGAAAUCUGGUCCCCCCGCGGGGCCCGAGUUGUAAUUUGAAGAGGAUGCUUCUGGCAAGGUGCCGUCCGAGUUCCCUGGAACGGGACGCCGCAGAGGGUGAGAGCCCCGUACGGUCGGACGCCGAGCCUCUGUGAAGCUCCUUCGACGAGUCGAGUAGUUUGGGAAUGCUGCUCAAAAUGGGAGGUAAACCCCUUCUAAAGCUAAAUACCGGCCAGAGACCGAUAGCGCACAAGUAGAGUGAUCGAAAGAUGAAAAGCACUUUGAAAAGAGAGUUAAAAAGCACGUGAAAUUGUUGAAAGGGAAGCGCUUGCGACCAGACUCGCGCCCGUCGGAUCAGCCGUCGCUCGUCGGCGGCGCACUCCGGCGGGCUCGGGCCAGCAUCAGUUCGCCUCGGGGGGAGAAAGGCGGCGGGAAUGUGGCUCUACGGAGUGUUAUAGCCCGCCGCGUAAUACCCCCGGGCGGACUGAGGACCGCGCGUAUGCAA
rnacentral:rRNA from 1 species